AUGAGUGCCAGAAUGGUCUGCUCUAAAAUGAACUCUUGGUGGCCACAUCAGGUUAAACCUGAUACUCUUUUCAGAAAUGAACAACCUCUUCUAUGCAACACAGUAAACAUUAACAGGAAUUUCUCAGCCACACCAUUCCCUGAGUAUUAUUGUUUAAAGAGCAGAGCUGGCCCAGGAGGAAAAUUGGCCCCAGCACAGGCUAUAAAGUGCAUCUUCACAACAGUGUCCACAGCUGCUGGAGGUGGUUGCUGGCCUGAAUACCGACCAAGGCAGUUAUGGCUGUGGAGUCCUGAUUUGUUCUUCUGAGAGCUGCCCCUCCGAGGCUCAUCCACUGCCGCUGAGGAACUUUACACACAUAAGAGCAGAAGGCAGGUCUUGUCUUCUCCUAUGAAGUGCCUCCUGUGACCCUAAAAUCAUGUUCAUUGGGACAAUAAC
rnacentral:lncRNA from 1 species